GCUAACGGUCACAUCACAUUGAAUGCACUGGUUCUCGUCCGAUCACCGAAGUUAAACAACGUCGAGCCUAGUUAGUAUUUAGAUGGGUGACCGCUUGGGAAACCUAGGUACUGUAAGCA
rfam:Octopus bimaculoides Scaffold5554_contig_255, whole genome shotgun sequence.